AGUUUGAUCCUGGCUCAGGAUGAACGCUAGCGGCAGGCUUAACACAUGCAAGUCGAGGGGUAUAGUUCUUCGGAAUUAGAGACCGGCGCACGGGUGCGUAACGCGUAUGCAAUCUACCUUUUACAGAGGGAUAGCCCAGAGAAAUUUGGAUUAAUACCUCAUAGCAUUGCAGAAUGGCAUCAUUCAGCAAUUAAAGUCACAACGGUAAAAGAUGAGCAUGCGUCCCAUUAGCUAGUUGGUAAGGUAACGGCUUACCAAGGCUACGAUGGGUAGGGGUCCUGAGAGGGAGAUCCCCCACACUGGUACUGAGACACGGACCAGACUCCUACGGGAGGCAGCAGUGAGGAAUAUUGGACAAUGGGCGCAAGCCUGAUCCAGCCAUGCCGCGUGCAGGAUGACGGUCCUAUGGAUUGUAAACUGCUUUUGCACAGGAAGAAACAACGCUACGUGUAGCGUCUUGACGGUACUGUGAGAAUAAGGAUCGGCUAACUCCGUGCCAGCAGCCGCGGUAAUACGGAGGAUCCAAGCGUUAUCCGGAAUCAUUGGGUUUAAAGGGUCCGUAGGCGGUUUGGUAAGUCAGUGGUGAAAGCCCAUCGCUCAACGGUGGAACGGCCAUUGAUACUGCCAGACUUGAAUUAUUAGGAAGUAACUAGAAUAUGUAGUGUAGCGGUGAAAUGCUUAGAGAUUACAUGGAAUACCAAUUGCGAAGGCAGGUUACUACUAAUGGAUUGACGCUGAUGGACGA
rnacentral:rRNA from 1 species